rnacentral:rRNA from 1 species
UCAGUCGACUCCUACGGGGAGGCAGCAGUGGGGAAUAUUGGACAAUGGGCGAAAGCCUGAUCCAGCAAUACCGCGUGUGUGAAGAAGGCCUUCGGGUUGUAAAGCACUUUUAUGUGGGAAGAAGGAUUGAGUGUUAAUAGCACUUGAUUUUGACGGUACCACAGGAAUAAGCACCGGCUAACUCCGUGCCAGCAGCCGCGGUAAUACGGAGGGUGCGAGCGUUAAUCGGAAUUACUGGGCGUAAAGGGUACGUAGGCGGCUUGAUAAGUCAGAUGUGAAAUCCCCGGGCUUAACCUGGGAACUGCAUUUGAAACUGUCUGGCUAGAGUGAGUGAGAGGUUAGUGGAAUUCAAGGCGUAGCGGUGAAAUGCGUAGAGGUCUUGAGGAACAUCAGUGGCGAAGGCGACUAACUGGCACUACACUGACGCUGAGGUACGAAAGCGUGGGGAGCGAACAGGAUUAGAUACCCUGGUAG